rnacentral:rRNA from 1 species
GAUGAACGCUGGCGGCGUGCCUAAUACAUGCAAGUCGAGCGAACAGAUAAGGAGCUUGCUCCUUUGACGUUAGCGGCGGACGGGUGAGUAACACGUGGGUAACCUACCUAUAAGACUGGAAUAACUCCGGGAAACCGGGGCUAAUGCAGGAUAACAUGUUGAACCGCAUGGUUCUACAGUGAAAGGCGGCUUUGCUGUCACUUAUAGAUGGACCCGCGCCGUAUUAGCUAGUUGGUGAGGUAACGGCUCACCAAGGCAACGAUACGUAGCCGACCUGAGAGGGGGAUCGGCCAACUUGGAACUGAGACCCGGUCCAGACUCCUAGGGGAGGCAGCAGUGGGGAAUCUUCCGAAAUGGGGGAAAGCCUGACGGAGAAACCCCGGGUGAGGGAUGAAGGUCUUCGGUUCGUAAAACUCUUUUAUGAGGAAAAAAAAAAUGCGUAAGUAACUGUGCGCGUUUUGACGGUACCAAAGCAGAAAGCCACGGCUAACUACGU